ACAGAUCGUUCAGAGUUUGAUCCUGGCUCAGGAUGAACGCUGGCGGCGUGCUUAACACAUGCAAGUCGAACGAAGCGACUAUGAUUGAGAUUUCGGCUGAUUGAUUAGUUGACUUAGUGGCGGACGGGUGAGUAACGCGUGGGUAACCUGCCUCGUACAGGGGGAUAACAGUUAGAAAUGACUGCUAAUACCGCAUAACCCGCUAGGGUCGCAUGACCCGGACGGAAAAGAUUUAUCGGUACGAGAUGGACCCGCGUCUGAUUAGCUAGUUGGUGAGGUAACGGCCCACCAAGGCGACGAUCAGUAGCCGGCCUGAGAGGGUGAACGGCCACAUUGGGACUGAGACACGGCCCAA
rnacentral:rRNA from 1 species